rnacentral:piRNA from 1 species
UGCAAUUACUAGUUACAUGUUUUACCACAAC